AAAAAAAAAAAAAAAAAAAUAAAUCCCAACCAACUAAAUAAUAUAUCAACUCCCAAUGGUUCAAAGGUUAUCAAUAGCAUGUACACAAAAUGCUAGGAGUCAACUUAUUCAUAAAAAUAAGGAAUUCUCUCCUUUUCAGUCCCCGUGAGAACUAACCUGAAACUACCUGAGUAUAUGUUACAACAGAAAUUGAUAUAGAACAGGAUCCUAGACUCAAUCCACGUUUGCAAGACUCUUACUGAAAAGCCAUCUCUGCUGUCUACCACAACAGGCCAAUAUGUUUUAGCAUUAUUAUGGCUCAAAUGACCCCACAUACGCAUAGAUGUAGCAUUACUUGUGUCAUGGCUCAAACACAGAUUUGUAUUAUUCAUUUCGUGUCAUCCACCUAGCCACCUCAUCCUUCAACAAUACCCCUGUAGUUGUGAUCCAGGAUGUGCAUUAUUUUGUUAUAACUGAAUAAUCGAAAUAAACAGAUGACAUUUGAUUAUUUUAAGAAAAAUUGAUUUUUAGUUAUCUGUUUGUUUACCCUUGGUUUAGCAAAUGAACUAACCGAAUUUUUAUUAAUUAAUGUAUAAAUUAUUAUUUUAUUAAUAAUAUAUCAUUUAUAAUUAUAAUUUUUCAUAAUUUGUU
rnacentral:misc_RNA from 1 species